CACCAGGCCCGGACUGGCAAUCUGUGUGUUCGGGCAUUCUCCCGACGGGCUGCUCUAUAUUUUAUUUAAGUGGGCCGCUCCUCACCUUCAACACAGCACUGAUUGCCUCAGGAGCUCUUUGAAUGCAUCCGAUGGGCACUAGGACCGCUCCUCCGUCCUAUCUCCCACGUGGCUCUGCCCCUCCCACUCCUCUCACACUGCUGCUGCUGCCGUGCUGUGUGAGUGUCCCUGCGGCCCAUCAUGGAGUACUCUGUGCUGCAAUGACGCCAUAUUUCACGACAUCGACAGCGAUACCUUGUUAACCAGCCUCAGCGAUUGUUUCUUGGCAUCUUCAGAGGUCACCUCAAUGUAAGCCAGGGUGGGGAAUCCCAUUGACCGACUGUACUCAAUGCUCCUACUUUGCGUCAUGAGAAUUCCCUUUAUUUUCCCCACCCCAACUGUCAACAAUAACAAAAAAAACAAAAUGGACCCUCAGCCAUAUCAGCCCAUUUGUCCUUCCCAGAAUUCACGGCGGUGAGCAAAUGUCUGCAAGAAACAGAAGCAGCCACGCUGAUACUUGCUGAAGCCAACAAAGGUAUAAGACCAGAAGGUUGGUUUUUAGCCAUAAUCCUACAAGAAGUCAAUGAUUGCUGAAAACCAUUGCAACACAGCAAGGACUGCAUGUUUUCUGGAGAGAGAUCCAUUUCUUUAUUUUAUUUUUUUUUUUGUUUUAAAUUAAUGGUCUUUUGUUCUAUAAGGUGCUUCAACGAUAAAAAAAAAGAAAAAAAACACAAAAAAACAAACAAACAAAAAACUUUUUACUAAAACGAACAAUGUUAACAAGAUUUGGUUUGUCGUAGUGCUGAAUGCUGACGUGAAUCAUAUACUUGGUUUAUGAAAUUAAUUUGUUGCAUUGCUGCUCUCUUGUAUGCGCAAGAGUGCCUUUUCGAGCAUGUAUACAAGUAACAAACAGUUAUUUGGAGGAGUGUUGGAAUUGUUGGCACAUGAUGUUUUAUCUCAUGGCACCAAUCUGCCUUUGGGUUGAAAUUCAGCAAGAAAUUGCACAGUUUCCUCAUUUUCAGGGUGAAAUCCUUCAUCUAUGAGCAGACGAGCGGGUGCAGUUUCUGUCAAUACCCACAUAACAAACUAGAAUUUACUCUACUGGCAGAGAAAAAGGCUAAGCCUAAAUUUACUUGAGGGUUUGAUACUCCAGUUUGACUUUGGGGGGACAGGGGUCAUUCCAAGAGUUUUGUUGACAGCUUGUAUAGUAUAAAAACGCUUAGGCAUCAUACUUAACUGGGCAGAGACAGACGAGAAGAUUCGGGGAGAUUUAUUCGCCCAGCGAUAAAUCGCCUCUUCUUUAGGCGACUAAUCAACCUGAACUGCCUCCCCGUCGGCUAGAAUCUAAAUUGCUGGAGGAAUGGCACACUGAACGCUUCAUUUUCCGAAGUUGCCUCACAAGGAAACUUCGGGCGACUAGUUGCCCGAAGAAGAGCCAAUUUGUCGCCAGGCAACUAAUCUCGCUGAUUCUACUCGUCUGUCUCUACCCUGAAAGGGGAACUAUGCAUGAAUAUAUCCCUGGUAUUAUUAUGUUUAGAUUGUAGUCAAGUGCAUUGAUCACAUUGUGUUUCACUGUUAAUUAC